GAUGAACGCUGGCGGCGUGCCUAAUACAUGCAAGUCGAGCGAACAGACGAGGAGCUUGCUCCUCUGACGUUAGCGGCGGACGGGUGAGUAACACGUGGAUAACCUACCUAUAAGACUGGGAUAACUUCGGGAAACCGGAGCUAAUACCGGAUAAUAUAUUGAACCGCAUGGUUCAAUAGUGAAAGACGGUUUUGCUGUCACUUAUAGAUGGAUCCGCGCCGCAUUAGCUAGUUGGUAAGGUAACGGCUUACCAAGGCAACGAUGCGUAGCCGACCUGAGAGGGUGAUCGGCCACACUGGAACUGAGACACGGUCCAGACUCCUACGGGAGGCAGCAGUAGGGAAUCUUCCGCAAUGGGCGAAAGCCUGACGGAGCAACGCCGCGUGAAUGAUGAAGGUCUUCGGACCGUAAAACUCUGUUAUUAGGGAAGAACAAAUGUGUAAGUAACUAUGCACGUCUUGACGGCACCUAAUCAGAAAGCCACGGCUAACUACGUG
rnacentral:rRNA from 1 species